rnacentral:rRNA from 1 species
AUUGAACGCUGGCGGCAUGCCUAACACAUGCAAGUCGAACGGCAGCGCGGGGGCAACCCUGGCGGCGAGUGGCGGACGGGUGAGGAAUGCAUAGGAAUCUGCCCGGUUGUGGGGGAUAACGUAGGGAAACUUACGCUAAUACCGCAUACGACCUUCGGGUGAAAGUGGGGGACCUUCGGGCCUCACGCGAUCGGAUGAGCCUAUGCCCGAUUAGCUAGUUGGCGGGGUAAGAGCCCACCAAGGCGACGAUCGGUAGCUGGUCUGAGAGGAUGAUCAGCCACACUGGGACUGAGACACGGCCCAGACUCCUACGGGAGGCAGCAGUGGGGAAUAUUGGACAAUGGGCGCAGGCCUGAUCCAGCAAUGCCGCGUGUGUGAAGAAGGCCUUCGGGUUGUAAAGCACUUUUGUUCGGGAAGAAAUCCGUGUGGUUAAUACCCGUACGGGAUGACGGUACCGAAAGAAUAAGCACCGGCUAACUUCGUG